UGCGUGCCACGAAAGAGCCCAGGACC
rnacentral:piRNA from 1 species